UACUUUCCGCAUGGAAGAAAGUUGAAAGGCGCUUUUGCGUCACUGAUGGAUGGACCCGCGGUGCAUUAGCUAGUUGGUGAGGUAACGGCUCACCAAGGCAACGAUGCAUAGCCGACCUGAGAGGGUGAUCGGCCACACUGGGACUGAGACACGGCCCAGACUCCUACGGGAGGCAGCAGUAGGGAAUCUUCGGCAAUGGACGAAAGUCUGACCGAGCAACGCCGCGUGAGUGAAGAAGGUUUUCGGAUCGUAAAACUCUGUUGUUAGAGAAGAACAAGGAUGAGAGUAAAAUGUUCAUCCCUUGACGGUAUCUAACCAGAAAGCCACGGCUAACUACGUGCCAGCAGCCGCGGUAAUACGUAGGUGGCAAGCGUUGUCCGGAUUUAUUGGGCGUAAAGCGAGCGCAGGCGGUUUCUUAAGUCUGAUGUGAAAGCCCCCGGCUCAACCGGGGAGGGUCAUUGGAAACUGGGAGACUUGAGUGCAGAAGAGGAGAGUGGAAUUCCAUGUGUAGCGGUGAAAUGCGUAGAUAUAUGGAG
rnacentral:rRNA from 1 species